GAGGGUAUAGCUCAGUGGUAGAACACUUGCUUAACAUGCAGGAGGUCAUAGGUUCGAUCGCCAAUACCUCCG
rnacentral:tRNA from 1 species